rnacentral:rRNA from 1 species
GGGCCCGCACAAGCGGUGGAGUAUGUGGUUUAAUUCGAUGCAACGCGAAGAACCUUACCAGGGCUUGACAUCCUGCGAACCUCUGGGAAACCGGAGGGUGCCUUCGGGAACGCAGUGACAGGUGGUGCAUGGCUGUCGUCAGCUCGUGUCGUGAGAUGUUGGGUUAAGUCCCGCAACGAGCGCAACCCACGUCUUUAGUUGCCAGCAUUUAGUUGGGCACUCUAGAGAGACCGCCGGUGAUAAACCGGAGAAGGUGUGGAUGACGUCAAGUCAUCAUGCCCCUUACAUCUGGGCUACACACGUACUACAAUGCUACGGACAAAGAGCAGCAAGUUCGCGAGGACAAGCAAAUCUCAUAAACCGUGGCUC